AUUGAACGCUGGCGGCAGGCCUAACACAUGCAAGUCGAACGAGUGGCGGACGGGUGAGUAAUGUCUGGGAAACUGCCUGAUGGAGGGGGAUAACUACUGGAAACGGUAGCUAAUACCGCAUACCAUCGGAUGUGCCCAAAUGGGAGUAGAUAGUUGGUGGGGUAAAGGCUCACCUAGGCGACGAUCCCUAGCUGGUCUGAGAGGAUGACCAGCCACACUGGAACUGAGACACGGUCCAGACUCCGACGGGAGGCAGCAGUGGGGAAUAUUGCACAAUGGGCGCAAGCCUGAUGCAGCCAUGCCGCGUGUAUGAAGAAGGCCUUCGGGUUGUAAAGUACUUUCAGCGGCGAGGCGUUACCCGCAGAAGAAGCACCGGCUAACUCCGUGCCAGCAGCCGCGGUAAUUC
rnacentral:rRNA from 1 species